rnacentral:lncRNA from 1 species
CGCAGACUUCCCUGGGUAUUUAUAGCCCCGCCCCACCAUGAGAGGCUCUGAUUGGCUCAGAUUGUUUGGUUCCAGUAACGGGCAUUCCUAUUGGACAGAGCCACGCCCACCUAUGGUGCUCUUUGACUCCACCCUAAGCCCUGGGCCAAUCAGCAAGUGGGCCACAGGGGUGUGGCUGUGGGCGAGGAGCUUGGUGCCACUUUGUCCUCGGCCAGGGCACGUGGUGCCUGCUCCGAGGCCUGGCUCCACCCAGCGUUAUUAGCAAGAGCCCAUCUAGACCAAAGAGGGCAUUCCAAGGCGCAGACACCCGGUCUGUAAAAUGGGAGGAAGACCAAGGAUCCCACAUGGGUGGGCUUCCACCCCAAACACAGCCUUCCAAGUCCCCAAACCCCCAGAGCCCAGAGAGCAGCUGGAGAAGACGGCACAGCGGCUGCCUCCCCAGGAAGGUGCGCUCACCUGAGGUCCCGAGGCGGCAGGC